GCUUACUACUUUGUUGUUUAUUUGCAUGUAGAACUAAGCAACCCAUAUAUCAGCAUCCUUCUAGGAUUUACAAUUUCAGAAGUCCUCUGCAUUAAGCUCUUGCAAACUUAUGGGGUUCAGAUACAUCAUUCUAUUAGAGUCUUGUAUUGUCAUACAUUUUUAUGUUUAAACUCCAUAUAAGCCAUUUCUUCCCUUUAUUUUAUAGGAUCAGCUGAGUCUUGACACCUAAAUUUACAUUUAUAUCAAUCUAUAUUAUAUUACAUGUCUCAUAUACCAAUUCAGUUUUUGUUUUUAAGUUGCUUUUACUAUUUUUUUGUCAUUAUAACACUUUAAAAUCUCUAAAAGUACUGCAACAUGAUAGUGUUCGAAACAUCGAGAUGAAAUUUAAGGGGCAAUAUGAACAGAAUACUCAGUUUAGUUUUUCAAUCUUAUUCUUGAUUCAAGACUAUGUUCAUCUGAUAUUCAACUUCCAUGUCCAGUCUUUCCUGUAAUUAUCGACUCAAGAUCAUCUCAUAAGUUGAAUUAUUUUACUGACGUCACAGUUAAAGAAUCACAAAGAAAAUUCAAAGAUUAGAAGAUCCAUAACUUUAGAUCAUUAAGCUGAAUUAUUCUUUGUCAUGCAUUUUGCUAUGCAUGGUACAUAUCAACAUUGUUGUAUAUUUUUCCUUGUUCAGUAAUUGACCACUGUUAUGAUUGUAAGAUACCUUGCCUAAUUUAUCUACCAAAGUCACGAAUGACUUUAAAAGUUAAAAGAGAAAAGGCAGAAUUGUAAAGCUCAAAUUGUUGUAACUAUUUAAGUAGUUAAAAGUAAAAGACUCCUGGGCCAAAAUAAAAUGAUUUGUGGAUUAUAUUAUAAGUAAGCUAUCAUUUGUGUGAGUAUUUUUAUUUGAAAUAAGUAAUCAAAGUUUGUAGUUUGGUAACAGGUGUAAGGAAACAUGGUAGUUCAUUAUGAGUUCUGCAUUAUUAUACAACACAUUACACUUUUUUUGUACACUUGAUACCUUCUUAGUUGUAACAUUAUCUCAAGAUAAAAGCUUGAAGGAAUUAUUGGAUGAAAGAUGUUCACCUUGUAUAGGAACAUCAUAUCCUUAUUUAUGUGGACUCUUCAUUCUUUUUAAAGUGCUUUCUUUCUGUAUAAAUUGGCUGCGUUUUAUUUUCCUGUUACUAGCACAAGCUCUCUGUUUUGUAUGCUUGAUUCUUGAUUACUGGUUUGAGUUUAAAUGGGUAUUUGCUUCAGGUGUAUGAGAAGCUUCUUGGGAGCCAAUGCUUUAAAUGCUUGUGGUGAUUUCAUGAAAUGCAGAGAAUGAAAUUCUUGAAUAUAUUAUAUGGACUACUGAAAAUUUGUUGCUGGUUCACUUCAUCUGUCUCUGUGUUGCCUUCUAGUUUCUUUUAAGGAUCUUGAUAUUAUAUUAUUUGCUUGUAGAACUUAUUUUAAAGCAUUCUAGAGCUUUUCUGGUAAACAUAUUAAUGGUGUCAUAUGCGUACUUACUAUACAUAAUGACUAUUGUAAUGCAUGUUGGUGAAUUGGAUUGCUUACUUAUUUAUAAUGGUUAUAUUUGAUAAUGGUUGAAGCGUGUCUAUGAGUUUGAUUUGCUAUUUUGUAUUGGAAUGAAAGAUAAUUAAAAAGUGGGGAUCUAUUUUUGAACCUUGUUUGCUUUAAUCUACUAAUUGCUUACAAAAAUAGAAGAAGCUCUAUUCUAUUUUUGUUUUUUUUUUUCCUAUAAGCUAAUUUUUAGUUUUGUACCUCUAUUGUUAGUGGUCUUGGAAUUCAGCGAUAGCAGAUACUCUGUUUAGCAGUGGAAUUUUCUCUUCGUUCUCUUAGCUUAUUGUUUCUCUUUUGUGUUUUUUGAUGGUUUAACACAAUGCUAUCUUUUGGGCUAUUAGCUUUCUGAUCUGAACAACACAAAAGAACAAUUUCUAUCAAAUAUUACUUGAUGUAAAUACUAUGCUUUAAUUUAUCUUUGACUUCUAUCACUUUGUUUAGUUUAUGAUUGGUCUAUUUUUCAAAAUAAAAUAAUUUACCAAGUAAACAAUAGACUUUAUAGCAUGUAAUUAUUGAGACUAGUAUGAAUAGAACUGAUUUUUUAUUAGAGAGCUAGCCUUAUUUUUUUAAUUUGUAAAUAUGAUUUUGUUUUUCAGCAUUUGGGUUAGCAUUUAUAACUUGAAUUUCAAAUUGGAAGGUCACUUUUGUUUUAAUACUAUGAAAAUUUCAGGGUCAUGUAUAGUUUCUCCUUGAAAUUAACAUGAUUUUACUUCUCAUUAUAUAGUUUCUCCUUUAUUUUUCUUGAUUUUACCUAACUGAGGACAUUGAGACAUACAGAGUUUCUUGAAUCAUGGGGUGAAAACAUAUUCAAAGAUAAAUGGUGGGUGUUUCAAGGUGUGUAGAGUUUCUACUUCUAUUUUUGUUGUUAUUGAAUUUUCGGAGCUUGUUUUCCUUGGUCAAAAUUAAAUUUUUAUUUUAGCAAGAAUGAAAAAGAUAAAAUAUACUGUAGUUGUUGCAUCACUUUAUGUCUUAAUCAAUUGUUAGUAACUUGAUCUUGGGAAUUGGUAGUUUGGUUUGUUGGCUGGAAUUUCAUUGCAUUAGAAAGCUUUAAGGAGUUUAGUUGAUACAAGAGGAAUUGUACAUUUGUGUCUUGAAACUUGAAAAGCUUGAAAAGCAGGAAAACCUCGCUGAACCCAUUAUUUUCAUGUUGCUGGAAUUAAAUCAAUACUUAGAGUUCUCAACUGUAACUUUAAUGAAGUUUAUUUGGAAAAAAAAGAUGAAUUUUUUAGCUGCUGUUUUCAAUUUUGAUCCAUAGUACAAAUUGCAAUCUAUGAAGUAAGAUUCUUCUUCUUGAUUGAGGAGCCUUAUUGUUUUGGUGUGGUAAUUAUGUUGUUAUGCAUUGCUAUUUUUGAAUUUUACCUUUUGCUGGUGAUGAUGGCUUUGUAUUUAUACAACGUGGAGGUCAGACUGUCUCUAAGAUUACUUUAGCAAUUGUCUCUAUUGUUUGGUUAGUUGCUGGAGUUUUCCUUUUCAUUUCUUUGCAAACCAUUCCUGGCUUUGGUUGAUUAACAUUUUUAAGUAAGAUUCAUUCUUUAGUUAUCUUUUCUUUUGUUCUGAAUUUUGAGUUUCAAACAAUUCAGUUCGAUUAAAAAACAUUGGAAAGCUAGAUGAUAAAAGCAUUUGUUUGCUUCGAUUUAUUGGCUUAAUCGCUUUAUCAUAAUUAGCUUUAGGUUUCUAAAUUCCAUUUGCUAUGAAAUAUAUUAUUGAUUCACUUUCUGACUUGGAACUGAUUCUUUUCGUUUUUAGCUCAAUCCAAGUCUUUAUGACAGUCAUCAAAUAUAUUCCUCACGUUAGAAAUGCCUCAUUUUUUUUUUCCCCAUUAGAAAAAAUAUCAAUUGUUUUAAAUAUAAUCUUAUGUAACAUCAGUGAUGAAAUAAUUUAGCUAUCCAAAAGGUUUUCUUUUUCCUUUCUUAUUACUGUAUGAGUAGAGAAUUAGAGACAGUAUUACUAUGUUGUCAACAAUUUUUCUAUAUCCUUUGCCCCUAUAAGUUAUUUUGAUGGUUUCUUUCAGGAGACUGCUCAUGAGACAGUAAUACUAUGUUGUACUUUAUGCAUGCUUUAUGUUUUUGAAGUAAUGUGGCGCCUGCAUAAUAGUUUCUUAUUCCCAGUUUUUGUUUCUUAAUAUUUGAGUUGUUUAAAAUAUGGUUUGAGUUGCUCCUUUUUGGGCCAGUGUUUUUUCUCAUUAGUUUUUGUUUUAGUGUGUUUAUGUCUCAUCCCAUUACACUCAGUUUAGCUCUUUUUUCUCUGUCCUGGACUAGUUACAUUUGUUGAGUUCAUGCAAAAAAAAUUCAAAUUUCAUAGCUGCAACUAUUCUGUGAAAAAGUGAUUGUUAAUCAAAAUAUCCAUAUUUUGGUGCACGUAAAUAAGUAAACCUUGCAUCAUUAUUUAUGUACAUAGAUUUAGAGAGAACUAAGAGAAAAAGAAGAGAGAAAGAGAGAGUUUAGUGAGUUAUAGAGGUUGGAGUUCUUGUGAGAAGCUUGUUCAAAGAAAGCUAAAACUGAGAACUUUUCUCUUUGUACUAAAGCCUUGUAAUUAUUCUAGAUUGAUCAUAGUGAAAACUCACGUAGGCCAAUUCCACUGAACCAUGUAUAUUGUGGUGUUCUUUUGACUACUGUUUCUAUCAUUCGUUAAAGUUUGUGAUUUGUUUAUGUUUCUGGCAUUAUUUCUUGUUUGUGUUUGUUCUUUUUUCUGGUACGUUUUGUUGGUGUUCUUGGCAGGUUAUUAAAGGGUUCAAUCACUUUCAAUAUCAUCCUCUAGGUAGGUUUCUUCUCAUUUUUCCUUAAUUGAUGUCCAAGAGAUGGGUGCAAUAGUCUCAAGUUUUAAUGCUUUUGAAAAUAAGGAAGCAGGCCCACUAAUUCUAACAUGGGUAGUGUUUCUUUGUCUAAUUUCAUUACUUCCAGGAAAAGAAGAAAACAAUGUUCUAAUGGUAUGCAUUUCAGUUUGGCUUUUUCUUUUCCCCCCUGCACUAUACUGUUACGGUAUUUAAUUAUCGGGGAGAGGUUUGGCUGCAUAAUGAUUGUCUUUCAGGGUCAUUUAUUGAUUAUUUUGUUGAUUUUUCAUUGGUGGUUCUAUUAAAGUUGACAUUUUUCUUUUCUUUCGUAGUUUUUUGAUUGGAUUUAUUGCUUUAAAAUUUUCAGGAAUCACUUUGCAGUCAGUUUUGGGACAGAGAAAGUUUUGUUGAUGGUCCUAUUCGGUGUUUUCUUUGUAACCUAGAAGGUGAAUUUCCCUUCAGGACUGUGGAACUUAUUCGCCUCUUAUCAUCCCUAUCUGAAGGAACUUGGCCAACAAAAUGUGUGAGAAAAAUGUCUCUUUCUCCAUCAAUUGGAGGAGAAAAUGAUACUUAAUUUUGAAGGCUUUGUGUUGGGCAUCUGUAGAAUAUUUUGUGCUGAAAGUAGUAACUUUUCAAUAUGUUGAAUAUUUAAGACUACUUGAAUACUUAAAGAACAUUUUGUUGUUGAUGACAGUGUUGAAUGUUUUAAACUAAUUUGUGGAUUGUUAAUACAAUGUUGAAUGUUUUUACUUUU